rnacentral:tRNA from 1 species
GGAUAUAGCUCAGCUGGUAGAGUGUUUGCCUUCCAUGCACAAGCCUUGGGUUUGAUCCCCAGCACCA